CUUUCUGUAGAGAUGCUGUAAUGAAAGUAAUAAUCAAGGAACCAAUUUCAGGGGAGCACCUGGAGUGUUUCUGUUAAAACAUAGUCACAUCCUGUCAUUGCUCAAAACCAUCCAGUAGCUUCUCAACUCAGCGUGAAAACUGGUCUUUACCAUGGCCUGCGAGACCCUAGACUAGCUGGUCUUUGACCUCAGUUGCUGUUUCUAGCUCCCUCCCUUUCUUGCUCCAGCACCUUUGGGCCUCCCUGCUCUUCCCUAAAGACACCAGGACCUCUCUUGGCCUAGGACAUUUCCCCCCCAGGUAUCUUAUUCAUUCUCCUGCUCCCCAAUUCAUUAAUCAAACUUCUCAGCCAAGUCUUCUCUCUCUCCCCUGCAUAAAAUUAUUCUCUAUUCCCUUAUCUGCCACUCCAGUUAUCUUUUGCCAUGUAACAAAUGUAGUGAGUUAUCUAAAAUUAUCUCCCCCCAAAUUUAGUGAGUUAAAAUGUCAGCAGACAUUUUAUUCUCAUAGUUUCUGAAGAUCAGUAAUUCUGGAAACUCUCAGCUGAGAGGUUCUGGUUUCUGGUUGUCUUAUAUGGUUGCAGUCAGAUGGUGGCUAGAACUGGAGUGAAGCGAGGUUUAAGUAUCUGGGGCCAUCUGCAUCUCUCUGUUUCUUUCCAUAUAGUCUGGAGCCCCUCAUGCGGUCUCUUCAUGUGGGCUAGUUUGAGCAGCCUCAAAGUAUGGUGAUCUCAGAGCAGCGGGCUGUUUAUAUGGUAGCUGAGUCUUUGUAAAUUAGCUUUCUAGCAAGUAAGGUGGGAGCUGCAUUGUCUCACAGGAUCUAGCCUUGGAAUUCAUGUAACAUCACUGCCACAUAUUCUGUUGGUUGAAACUUCAAAAAACUCCAUUCAGUUUCAUGGGGAGGAAACAAAGAACCCAUUUCUAUAUUGGAGAAAUGUCAAAGUCACAUUGUAAUAAGAGCCUGUGGGGUAAGAGAUAAUGUUGCCAACACAUGUGAGCAGUUCAACUGGCCACACUUCCUUUCCUUUCUCCUUCUCACCUCACACGAGAUUUAAUUGACUUCUUUAUCUUCUGUGCUGCCUGUCUUCCUGCACUAAAAUGCCAGUCUGUUUUGCUCACUGCUCUAUUCCCAGAGCCAAGAAUGGAGCCUGGCACAUAGGUUUUAAUAAGUGCUUAUUAAAUGAAUGAAUGAAUGAAUGAAUGAUGUCGUCUGCUAGUCCUAACUAUAGGUCUCUAAAUUAGACAUUAGUAUAACCAUUUUUCAGAUGAGGGAGAUGAAGCUCAGGAAGGUUUGGUAACUUCUGCAGGAUCACACAGCUACAAAAGGGGAAAACCGGCAUUUAAAUAAUGUCUUGCUUUUUUCCACUAUUCCAGACUGGCCAUCAUAGCUGCAGCUAUUUGGAUUCCCUCCACCCUCUACCCCAACCCCUGCAGGAGACGCACACUGCUACAACCUGAUACCAAAAUUCAGUUUAUCCCCACUUGGUUGCACUCAAGCUGAGAGCAAAGCAAUUGUACUUUCAACCCCUUAGAGCAGAUUUUUCUGAAGCAUGUUUCAGGGAUAACCACCACAUUUUGCGUUCAAACCGUACAUCUGGUUUGCUGCAAAAAAGACAAUUAAAUGAAAGGUUAGGCAGCGUUUUAAAUGGCCAGUUCAAACUUUUGGCUUAUUUUUUGCCUUGCUGUCUUUAUAGGCAUUUUACCAGUAUCUAUCACUAUUUCCCUUAGGGAGCCCCCAGAUCCGUGAUAUUUCAAAUAAUAAAGCCUCUCCAUUGGCUCUUUAAAAGAUUCAUGGUAAAACGGACCAUUAACAUUCACAGUUCCUCAUUUACGAGGCCAGAUUGCACUUAUUUCCAUAUUCCUCACUGUUUCUUCAGCGAGGAUUUCACAUAAUAGUGUUUGAAGGCUAACGACUUCAAAGCAAAUUCUUUACCAUUUUUAUCUUGAAAAAUAUUCAACAUUUGUAUAAUUAAAGUUAAGUCUUCCUAGAGAAAAUGACAACUCAAAUAAUCGUAAAUGUACCUCCAAGAAAGAAGCUGUCAGAAUGACAUUCAGCUGCAUACUCACAUUCUCUGAGGCCUUUGCUUCUCCCCCUGAUUUCUUGUAAUCUUUGAAGGUUAUGUCAUGGGUGACUUGAGAUCACUUUUUAAAUUAUUAUGACCUCGUUUCAGUAUGAGCUCUGAGGGUGAGGGGUUCUGUCUUCCCUUGGUUCCAGAUUUUUGCUGUUGUGUGGUUACCAGGCAGUUCAAAGAAAAGCCAACCCCCCGCCCCCAAGUCUUUCUUGAUCCUAAUUGUCCCACUAGCUACCAUCCUAUUUCUCUUUUCCUUGGAACUAAAAGUUUUUUCGCAAGUUUGUGUGCACUCUGUCUCCAUUUUAUCUCCUAAAUUUUGUUCAUAUAAUUUUUGUUUUUACAAUGUUAUGUUUCAAGCAUACAGCAAAGUGAUUCAGUUAUGCAUGUUCAUAUAUCCCUUUUCAGAUUCUUUUCCCAUAUGUUGUUACAGAAUACUGAGUAGAGUUCCCCGUGUCAUCUCCUAAAUUAUAUAGCAAAGAUUUGCCAAUGACCUCCAACCGCACUGGCAAAUUUAAGGGGAUUUUCAAGUUCUCUGUUUAAUUGACUGUCCCCUGCCUACCUCUCCAGUUUUUGCUUCAUGCUUCUCACUCACUCUCCUCAACGCUCAAGCAUCCCUUCAUCCAGGAUGUCUUCAGAUUAAUUGGACAGUUAGUAUCGUAAUUCAUGCAUUCUUGUACGUGGGCUUGCUAAGAUACUGAUGGAGAAGAGGUAGAACCCAGACGUGGGUCAGCCCAGAGCUAGGGAAAUUAACCCGUCUCCAGGUAGGGGGAACCUGGCAGCUUAACACUUGGUAUUCAAAAGGGCUCAGAAAACUUGUGCUGGACCUGGGCCAAUACUAGUUCUUGGGGUCCAAUUUAGUCAGUGUUCAGUAGGGGUGUCCAGGCAAUACCUAUAUUCAUUCAGUGAAAAUGUACCAUGUGUCAGUUCUGUGUUAGGCAUUGUACUAGGCACAGGGGAUACUAAGAUAGGUAAACACAGUAGCUUUCCCUUAGUUGCUCACUAGGGAAGUAAAGAGACAGAAAAAUGCAUAGACAACUGCAAAAAAAAUAUGUAUACAUAGAAAAGUACAGUUCAGCAAUGGUGUUCAUCUCGCUGCCAUGGAGGUAAAUAUUAUUCACUUUUUUUAAUCAGUUGCUCAUUUGAGGGUUUCCUAUCAGAGUUAUUAGAUGUGAUAGUCAUUGCUUUUCACAGGUAAACACAUGAAUAAAUAAAUGCAUUGGUGUUUGUAUAAACAGUUAUGAAAAGCUGGUAGAAUCCCGGGAACUCUUAAAAUUUUGCCACAUUACUUCCUCUAAGACCGUUUACCUCGCACAUUUCUUUACCCACACAAACACAACUGUUUUCUUCACUAUUUAGUCUUUUUAAACCUCACAUCUUUCAAUCAUCUCUCUCUCUCUCUAUCUCUCUCUCUCAUUUUUGGAGGUGGGGGCACACAGGUGUGGCAUAGGAAGUUCCCAGGCUAGGGGUCCAAUCAGAGGUAUAGCUGCUGGCCACAGCCACAGCCACAGCAACACCAGAUCCGAGCCGCAUCUGUGAGCUACAUCAGUUUGCAGCAAUGCCAGAUCCUUAACCCACAGAGCAAGGCCAGGGAUUGAACCCGCAGCCUUGUGGAUACUAGUCGGUUUCAUUUCCUCUAAGCUACCGUGGGAAUUCCUCCAUCAUCUCUUAAUUAUUCAUUUCCAUUCAUUAACUCUCCUGUCCAGAAUAAGAUAAAAAUGGUAGGAUGUCUGACUAGGGAGAGUAGAUUUUUGAUAGGCAGAAUUCAGAAGUUGAAGGAAAUAGUUAAGAGAGAUAUGAUGAACAACAACAAAAAAAUAAUAAUUUUAUGGUAUAACAACUUCUAGCCAUAUAUUAUAAAAAAAUAUGGCAUCAAGAGACGUGUUUGAAAAAGAAAUGAAAACUGUAAUAAAAAACUUAGAAAAUAACAAGAACAGUCAAUUUAUGGGAUGUGGUCAAAGCUGUGCUUAUUGUCAAAUGCAUAAUCUUAAAUGCUUUUAUAAUUUAAAGCAUAGGUGUCAGGAUUAGUUAGACCUGGAUUCAAAUCCCAGUAAUGUCACCAAAUGACAAAUGACUUUGCCUCUCUCAGCCUUUUUCUCCAUGUGUAAGACAGAAUAAUAAUGGCUUGCACUUACAAAGUGUCAAGAAUAGUGUCUAAUAUGAAAUAGUACUUACCAAGUAGCUGCUGUUGAAGAGUUAUUUAAGCGUUAUGGUUUUAUACAAUUAUUAAGUAAAAUUUUGAAAACUAAAACAUGUAAACAUUCUUAAUGGCUCAAAAACCUUGCAGUGAUGUGUCAUACCAGUCUUCAUCCAAGAAAUUCAUCUUUGUUCAUUUAUUUUGACUUGAUAUGAGUGCUUCUGGCAGUUCUUAAGCCCUCACCAAUUUUAUAUCAUAAGAUGUGAUAAACAGAUUAUUUGCUAAAAUAAUAUUCUUGCUUCCUUUUUUGGGAAUUUCCUCCAUAGAAACAGUUUGUACACAGCAAUAUUAAGCAUCAGAUCUGAUUGGCAACAAUUUCAGAUGCUUCAAAAGGCUUUUAAGAUGAGAAGGGUCCAUUUGGGUUAUCUGGAUUCUGAAACUGAAACUGCUCUGUUCUGUUUUUCUGGCUUCUGGGAGAGGAGGAGAUAUGAAUUCAAUUAGCACCUUGGUGUUUUCUUUAUCCUUCAUUUCAAUACGAGAGAUGGUUCACAUGCAUGGUGGUAUCAGGUUACAUCAAAAGGGGGGAACAGUUUCUUGGUUUUUCAUUUUCUACCAAAAAGGAAAGACACCCAUUUUGUUCUGCUCUAAUUAGUAUGAGAGCCAGUGCAUGACUUUUUGAGAACAGGCAGAUGCUUUGAAGGCGGUAUAACACAGGUCUUCAUUAAUCUCCAUGCAGGAUUUCUGGUUUAAACUGUCGAGGCCUAAGGUAAUGGCUCAGGAAGAGGACCGAGCACAGAGCUCUAACCAACCCAAGCCAGGUUUUAUAAAGAACAAGUCAAGGUGGUGAGAAAAUGCAUUCUCAUUAUCUCCCACUUCCUUAUACAUCAGAAAGACAAAAUUGGUUAUUUUAAUUGCAAUUUAGAAAUUUUUUAAAAAUUAUUUUAAAGUCAGUAACAAGCUUAAUUAUAAAGAUAUUCCUGGAGUUCCUACUGUGGUGCAGCAGAAACCAAUCUGGCUAGUGUCAGUGAGGAGGCAGGUUCGAUCCCUGGCCUCGCUCAGUGGGUUAGGGGUCUAGCAUUGCCGUGAGCUGUGGUGUAGGUCACAGACGCAGCUCCGAUCCCAUGUUGCUGUGGCUGUGGUGUAGGCCAGAAGCUCCAGCUCCA
rnacentral:lncRNA from 1 species